rnacentral:rRNA from 1 species
AAUCAAGCGUUUAAGGGCGUGUAGUGGAUGCCUUGGCACUGAAAGCCGAUGAAGGACGUGAUAUACUGCGAUAAGUUUCGGGGAGCUGUAUGUAAGUUUUGAUCCGAAAAUUUCCGAAUGGGGAAACCCACCACUUUAUGUGGUACUUUAAACUGAAUACAUAGGUUUAAAGAGACAACCUGGAGAACUGAAACAUCUAAGUAACCAGAGGAAAAGAAAUCAAUUG